AGUGAACGCUGGCGGUAGGCCUAACACAUGCAAGUCGAACGGCAGCACAGUAAGAGCUUGCUCUUACGGGUGGCGAGUGGCGGACGGGUGAGGAAUACAUCGGAAUCUACUUUUUCGUGGGGGAUAACGUAGGGAAACUUACGCUAAUACCGCAUACGACCUACGGGUGAAAGCAGGGGAUCUUCGGACCUUGCGCGAUUGAAUGAGCCGAUGUCGGAUUAGCUAGUUGGCGGGGUAAAGGCCCACCAAGGCGACGAUCCGUAGCUGGUCUGAGAGGAUGAUCAGCCACACUGGAACUGAGACACGGUCCAGACUCCUACGGGAGGCAGCAGUGGGGAAUAUUGGACAAUGGGCGCAAGCCUGAUCCAGCCAUACCGCGUGGGUGAAGAAGGCCUUCGGGUUGUAAAGCCCUUUUGUUGGGAAAGAAAAGCAGCAGGUUAAUACCCCGCUGUUCUGACGGUACCCACAGAAUAAGCACCGGCUAACUUCGU
rnacentral:rRNA from 1 species